GACAGAGGUUGCAAACGUUGUUCGGAAUCACUGGGCAUAAAGCGCACGUAGGCGGCCAACUAAGUCAGGUGUGAAAUCCCCCGGCUCAACCGGGGAACUGCGCCUGAUACUGGUUGGCUUGAGAACGGUAGGGGUGAGCGGAACUCCAGGUGGAGCGGUGAAAUGCGUAGAUAUCUGGAGGAACACCGGUGGCGAAAGCGG
rnacentral:rRNA from 1 species